AUGUGCAUGGAGCACAAACAUGCAUGCCUUCCAUCAUCGAACCAUCCAUCUCAUCCAUCAUGCAUGCAGUGCAAGGAGGCAGCGCUACAAGGUAGACAAUUUGUUUGGCUAGGGAGCGCCGCUGUGCUCGUUUGUUGUCUGGAGCGCACCGCCAUAUAUAGUAAAUGCAUGUCCUUGUGUCUAGCUGUCUACGCUAGAAAAGGAAAUUGUUUCGCAACAUCUCUGAUGAGGACAUCAAUACUAUUGUUACAUCCACAGCCCCUGCUGCUAUACAUACUGGACCAAUUACUAGAGCUCGCGCACACCAAUUAA
rnacentral:rRNA from 1 species